rnacentral:rRNA from 1 species
AUUGAACGCUGGCGGCAGGCUUAACACAUGCAAGUCGAGCGGAGAUGAGGUGCUUGCACCUUAUCUUAGCGGCGGACGGGUGAGUAAUGCUAGGAAUCUGGCUAUUAGUGGGGGACAACAUUUCGAAAGGAAUGCUAAUACCCCAUAAGUCCCAAGGGAGAAAGCAGGGGAUCUUCGGACCUUUCGCUAAUAGAUGACGCGAAGUCGGAUUAGCUAGUUGGUGGGGUAAAGGCCUACCAAGGCGACGAUCUGUAGCGGGUCUGAGAGGAUGAUCCGCCACACUGGGACUGAGACACGGCCCAGACUCCUACGGGAGGCAGCAGUGGGGAAUAUUGGACAAUGGGGGGAACCCUGAUCCAGCCAUGCCGCGUGUGUGAAGAAGGCCUUAUGGUUGUAAAGCACUUUAAGCGAGGAGGAGGCUACUGAGACUAAUACUCUUGGAUAGUGGACGUUACUCGCAGAAUAAGCACCGGCUAACUCUGUGCCAGCAGCCGCCGUAAGAC